CCCUGGGAUUUUUUUUUAAUGGUUCCUAUUUCCUUGUUGAACUUGUCGUUUUGUUCAUUUAUUUUUCUCACAUUGUGUAAUUCACUAAACGUUAAGAGGAUAAUUUUGAAUUCUUGGACAGUUUGUAGAUCUCCACUUCUUUUGGACUGUAUAUGUUUAUUUUAGCAGAGACAGUUCCUCACCAGUCAGUUUAGUUUGGGCUUCUGGAUUGUCUGCUAGUGACAUCAUUGAGCAGGUAGGGCUUGCUGUCAGCUCUCUUCUUUGAUGAAGCCAUUGCCCAGGCUCUGAGCUUUGGGGCUGGAGGUUGUACUGGCUGAGAACAGUUGGCUAGGACUGCUUGCUUGGCUCCCUGCCAGAGUGAGUCUAGAGGAUAGACUCUGGGGUUCCCUAGCUUCUCCGGUCAGGCUUUCUAGCUGGUAAGGACGGGGUUACUCAGUAGGCUGGGCUUCAAAUUGGGCUCUCUGCGGCAGUCAGGUAGUAGGACAGGCCCUGGGCCUGCAUGGCUCAGUGUUUGGUACCCAAAUCAAGUGUGACUAUACCCUGAAUUCCCUGGCUAGUCAGGGCCCAUGAUUUACCCUGUGGAUGGGGAGUGCACACUGUUCAGUUCCAUUGCUAUGGGGAGCGGGGGCUGUUGGUGGUGCUGGCGGCUCCCUGUGGGCACUGGUGCAGUUCCCUUGUGCGUGGGCUGCAAGCUGUCUUCAGCCGUGCGUGGCCCUAUGGAUUCAAGUCCCUGCCCAGGCUCAGCAGAACCAGCUUCAAGGUCAGUAAGAUUGUCUUGACUCAAGCCAACCCACAUCCCAAACCCCCUGGCUGGAUGCGGCCCCCAGCUUCGUUCUGCAGACUCUUCAGACCUGCCUGCCGGACUCCCUGCUCAAGUGUUGUGGGCUGUGCAGCUUUCCAGGCUUUCUGGUUGAGCAGGGUCAAGAGCUCCACUCAGCCGUGGGCAGGCUUAUGACUCUACUCCCUCCAGGGCUGGAAAGUUGCUUCAUUUGAGGACCUAGAUCAGGCAGCCCUGCUUCCUACCGAGUCCCCUCGUCAGACCACGUCACUGACUGACUUCUGCAGAUGAAUAAGCCACAGGUUGGGACCACUGCUUGGGCACUGCAGGUAGGAACUUGGGCCGCCAAGAUCUGAGAGCUGGUUGUUGCAACCCCUUCUUCCUCUUUUCUCAUGGUCAGAUUGCCAGUGGUCAAGUUCUGCAGAUCCCCUGAAAUCCUGGUGUGGCCAGACCCAAGCUGGGGCUCCUAAGACAUGACCCACAAUGUUGGGAAGCUUGCUAGCCACCCUGGCUGUUUUUCCCACUGGAGGAACCAAGGCCAAGGGGAGGGGUGGUGCAGAAGGGUGCUUCAGCCUCCCCUUUGUGUUCCAGAAUUCUCUCAGUGGUCUUUUCCUUGUAUACUUGUUUUUGUGACGGGGAGCAAAGUCAGGAAUGACCUGUGUCACCAUCUUGGUGAUAUCACCUGUCACCAUUCUGUUUUAUUGGUUAGGUGUGGAAAUGCAUUUUGGACAUCUCAAACACUUCAUCUUGUGUGCAAGGAGACAUACAUGAAGGCCGCCAGCACAGAGUUGAAGGUAAGCUACUUUGCUGCCAGGUGUGUGUUAGUAGUAGUUUCUAGCUAACCCUGUGUUCGCCAGUAUUGUAUACUGGCUUGUUAUCUUUUGUCCAAACUUUCACAAAGUAGUAAAUUGAGAUGUAGUAAAUGCAGUAUUUUGCUCAGUUGUCACACUUGCAAAUUCUGUAGCUUUUCCUCAUUCACUUGCAUUUUUGUGUUGUGCCUUGAUCCCCUCUGGCUGCUAUGUGGAAGAGGAAUUUCUCCCAUCUACCCCUUCUUUGGCCUGAGGAUUGUGCCACCUGGUGACAUGUGAGGAGAAUUGUAGUUUUGGUGGGAAAUUGUGAGAGGGUUCCAGUUGUGUCACAAUAAAAGGAAGGACACCCAGUUCUUCCGGGUGUCUAAAAACACUCACCUGAAAUUCAAGUUCGAGUUGAAGUCCCAUUCUUGGCGUCUGCUCAUGUCUGCCAGACUUGGCCAUCUAGAAGUGAGUGGGAGUGGACGUGGGUGGCCGAUUUCAGAGGUGAAGACAGUCUGCUCUGCAUUUUGAUGUGUAAUUGAGGACAAUCAUUGGAAACUUUUAGGGGAGAGUUAAGAGAAAUGGAGUUGUGCCUGGACAAAAAUGUAAAAAGGAACAUCCAGCUGCUGCUGUCACUCCCUAGCAGUGCGGCAAGAAGGUGGUGGGACCUGGGGACAGAGGGGAGCCCUGCAGCCAGGGAGCAGAGUCCUCGCGAGAAGGCCAGGCGGGGAUACCCACUGCUUCUGGUCUGCGAACACACAGUCCAGGGUUUGGGGCGCUCUUGGAGGUCACAAGCAGACAAAACUUGUUCCGAAUGUGGGAUUUUGGCAUUUGGAUUCAUAAAUUUCCCAGUUACUACCAGUCAAUGGCAAUUCUCUGGCACAGAGGAGACUCUUCCCUGUAGCUCGUAGCUUCCCUGUAGGUUUCACUUACCAGAGGAUUUGGGGUUUCCUGAGACUUUUUUGGGUGGUUCUUAACAAGCCAGUGCCACACACACUGUGUGACAAGGCUGGGGUGGUGUCGUGUGGACAGUGAUGGCCCAUCAUCCAUUUAUUGCCGUCCCGGGGCUUCACGUAGGGAGGAUGAGAUCUUCUUUCCUGGUAUGUGUUUUGCGAGUGUGUCCUCGCUUGUCCCGGGAGGUGUUCCAGGAGAGGCGGAGGCUUCUAGGACCCGCGUCUACACUAACUGAACCUUGGAUCUUGUGUCCCUGUGCUGUCCCGGGAGUGUCAUGUCAAGUUCCCAAUUCCAAAAGAUAUACCGUAUUCCUGCUCAACAGACUGACAGAAAAGAUUGUUUCUCCUCCUGCCACAAAGUGGGUGUUUCACCAGUCCGUGGGAACCUGUCUGGCACUCACACUAGACUGAUGUGUGAUAGAGGCUGUGGCAAAGUCUUGAAGGGACCAAAACUGGGCAAGAUGUUUUCAAGCCUGAAACAGAAAGAACAAAUGUGAGGGUGAGUCUGCCUUCCCCCGGGAAACCCCUGGGGGCGUCCCAACACUCACGGGUAUGUAGGCACACAGAGCACGACCUCUCACCAGAGCAGCCAUGUUCUCACCGUAGACCCAGACACAUGGGCAGGACAGACUUCCCUCUUACCAGAAACUUUUCAAGACCUCCUUCCCCCACACUUGCUAGGAAGUGUUCAUGUGUGCUUUGCUUUGUGGCCCAGGAAAAAAAAAAAAAAGUGGCUUCGAAUCAUCCCGAGACUUUGCCACUUGCAGAGUCCCAGUGUGGCCCCACGGUUUUCUUCAUUGUUGCAAAGGCUGCACUGUGAAACCUCUGCUAUUACUCUGUCCUCAUUUUCUUCCCAUCUUCCCAACACGUCAGACCCAAAUUUGGAGGUAGAAAAGGUCUUACAAAGGUCUAGGCAGAAGUAACUCCAUAGAAACUACAACUGUCCACAGGGAAAGGCUUAUUUGUGUGGCGGAGAAAGCUGUCAAGAAAAGAGCACUGUAACCAAGAGCCCAUCUGACCAUCCUAAGUCAGGCUUCUUUGGGAAGAUGCUCAUUCAGCAGGAAAUCCUGAAGCGAGAAACCUCUCGUGAACAUGCCAACAGCCUGAACUGGACGAUUUUAGGAAAUCUGAGCCAGGUCUGUAGCGCUGGGACACCCGCACUGUGACCUGGGAGAUCGUGGUAUAACCUGUGUGCGGGUGACGGCAGAAAUGAGGGGGCACGAGUCAGAAGAUGCAACAUCAUAACCACAUAGCUGCGGUUCAUGGAACAAUCUCCCUGGGGAGAGACCAGGGUGCCACUUUCAAGGGCAGUGAGCAGGUCAUUCAGAGCCUCACCUGUCACGUUCGAGUAACAUGCACCCAUCCCAAGCUUGUGGCCACCGUGCUAGUCCGUCAGUUUAACUCACCGAGAGGCCCGGCGCUGGAGAUGCUCCCAGGUCAAGUUCUGGGAGGCCUGCACACACCACCUCAGGGACCCCCCUCUCCCGCCUCGCACUCUCAGCAGAGCUUGGACAUGCCAGGAAUGCCCGGGGAAAGAAACGCCUUCUAGAAAUCUCACUUUCCGACUGCUUUGCCUCCCCUGGUGCCCAACACAGGCAGGGCAUCACCAGUCACUCGGCAGGUGCUCGCAAGCGGGAGGAGAAACCGGAGUUGGCCAGGAUGACGCACACCCACCUUGGGUACAAGUCACAGGAUCUGUGACACACUGUGAACAAGGCCAGAAGGGCCCACUCUUUUCAUCUCUGGCCACACCCUGACUUGUAACCAGCAUGGACACCGGGUGUGUGUGGCCCGGAGCAGCCGACCUUCUCAAUGGGCCCAGGACCCUCAAAUGCCUGAUGGGCCCUUGAACUGCCGAAGGAGCCUCCACUCCGGAGUGGGAAGAGGCAGCACCCCCUUGCACCCCCAGCUCUGGAUGCACAGAGCAGAAACCCUGCUUAGACAAAGUGGGUACAAGACAUUUUCCCCCACUCUCAUGGCUUGUCAGGCUUGGAACAAGUCCCACGUCAUCCCAAACUUGACCACAAGCCAGCAGCCCAAGCUGUGUGUUGGUUCCAGGAAACGGUUUCUGAGGAACAGCAGUCCCCCUACAGCUGUUCCUACUUUGGAACAAUUCACAGGGGACGACGCUCGGCAGCCCUCGGACUCUGGGAACCUUCAGGGGCCUGCACGCUGCCAAAGGCCUCUGUCAGAGAAGCUGGGCUUGGAGAGCGCCAUCUUGGGAAAGCAGCCAAACCUCCAUGUGGGGACACGGCCCCAACACCAAAGUCUGAAAGCAAAGCUGCCACUCUGCCUUCAGAGACAGAGAAGGGACGGAAUGAAGAGGCAAAGGAACACUGGCCACCUGUGCAGGCACCUGCCCACGUGCUCAGGAGGGACCAAGGCCCUGUGGUCUUUUCCAGCCCUCGCCUCUUUUCAGCUUCCUCUGAAGAGCUCAACUACUGCCUUUGGGCAAGAACACGUUGCUACUCCUGGCCUUUCUGCCAUGACCUAGAAGGCACCAUGUCUAAACCAGACUCCCGACUUUACCUUCUUCACAUGACUCCCUCUCCUGACCCUCCGCCUUGGUCUCUGUCCUUCCACCAUCCCCUGGUGACAGGGACACAGCCCCGCUCUCUCAGAGGACUGGGACUUCCCUUCCCACCAUCACCAUCUCGGGCUCGCCUCUCCUGGUACGUGUUUCUGACUUGACUCUUCAUUUUGCUGUGGGCAGCCAGCUGACAUUCUCUGAAAACACCUCUUCCUACUUCCUCCUGCCUCCCUGAGACCCAAAUCCCUAACACAUCCCUCAAGGCCCUCGAAAGCCUGGUCCUAAUCCACUUAGGACAAGGACACGUGGUACAGCUCUUCCUCCUGCUCUUACACACUCCGCGCUCUCAGAACCCCGUGUGCGCGCUCCCCUGCAGGGCUCUCUUCUGAGCUCCCACUGGGCGUCCUCACUGUCCAGGCCACUUGUUUGGCUUCCUCAAGGAUCAGCUGAGAUUAUUUUCCUCCCUAAGACUACGUCCUCCUGCCUUCACCCCAGACACAGGCACUUGCAUGUAGCAAAACGUCAGACACCCCCCGCACUGUAGGGCAGUAAAGGAAAUGGGAGCGACAGACAGUUAAUGACACGUGGCACGGAGACCUGGUUCCGGAGUCGGGAUAAUGCCCCUGGCUGAGCGCCAGGAGCCUGUGCCCGGGGGCCCCUCAGCACCCUCCCAGAGGCCCUCUGGCCCUGACGGGGGGAAAGGGAGGGUCCAUCCAGCUGCCCCGGGGUUUUAGCAGCCGGGGGCAGCUGGGUUUUAGCCCAGGACUCUGUCCCCUUCUUCCUGGACACUCGAGCAGGAAGCGAGGUGCGCGGGGCUGGCGCAUUCUGGCUGAGGAGGAAGGCUUUGAAGGGAAAACCACGGAAGAGAGAAGGGGGAAGAGAGCUGAUAGUUUCCUGAGCUUUUCCAUAACUGUGCUGUGGAUAUGUAAUUCUCACAUGGGAAAAGAAUGCGUCCACAUUGCCAUAGAUGUUCCCAGACUGAACAGAAGGUCAGAAUGUGGCUAUUUCAGUCCCUGUAAACAAGGAAGGGGUUUAGCUAAGAACGUAGUUCAAACUUUGGAAUGUAUUAACAAGGACAUUUUAAACAGAAUACAGAGACAUCCGGGAACACGGAGCACCGUGGAGGGAUGGGGGCGGGGUGGGAGAGGGUCAGGCUCUGUUUGCAGAGCAGCUUCUCCUCACAGCCUUUCCUGAAUGGCAGUCAACGGACAGACAGAGGCAAGUAGAGGAAACAAAGCUUGUCAGAGGCAGGUCGCCACUGUCCCGUGUAAGACUGUGGAGAAUGUCUGCUGUCUGAAAGAAUGUUCUAUAGUUCUGAAACAUUUCAUGUCCCUUGUCCUUGGGCAAAAAGAUCAGCCUGUGGCCCUCAGGACUGGGCACAGCUGCUGCUGCUCGCUGCCACGGGCACGCCGCCAGACCCGGCCGGGCCUGCUCUCCCCCCACUCAACUUUGGGCUCCUUCUCCCAGCAGGAAGAAAUUCUGUUUCCCUCCUCCUACUACAUACAGUUGGCCUAUUUACUAACAAUUUCUUUCCCAAGAGUUUCUCUAAAUGUAUUCAUUUUUAUCCAAAGUCGGAUAAGGAACAGUUCCCUCUACCCAACUCCCAAUAAACAUGGACCAGUUUUCAUUUUAUAGCUGUAAAAACCGAAUACUGGUAUUGAUUUGUAAUAAAAUGCCUCACUAACAUUUUAAAAGGUUCACAGGCUAGUCUCAGGAGACCAGUCUUCUGUAGUUGGGAACUCCUCCCCCGCAUCCUAAACACACAUCCUCACCUGCACGCGGGUACCAGAAAGUCGCAACAGCUGCCCACCUCCCCUCGUGGGUUCCCGCUCCCACACCUGGCCAGAGGGCUCGGCCCCCUGGUGGUCCAGGUCGGAGCAGUGCUGGCCGGCAGUGAGCCACCUCCAGACUUGUUCUUGUAACCCACGAGUGGCCCCAGAACCGGAGAGCUCCAUGCCGAACACAGGUAGUGGCGAGGUGCCCUCCAGCUCAUCUGGUCGUGCUGGCUGGCCGCCUACAAGCUCUCAGCUGCCCCGAGUCCCAGGGCUACUCCCACGUGGCCCUUUCCUGCUCCAGGUCACCAGGCCCUUAUGUUGUCUAAAUGAGGUCACCCCGUGCUCUGCCUACUGGGCUCACCUGCAUUGCCUGGAAUUACUGAUGUUUGGGUUCAUUUAUUACAUU